rnacentral:rRNA from 1 species
AACGGCUCACCAAGGCAACGAUGCGUAGCCGACCUGAGAGGGUGAUCGGCCACACUGGGACUGAGACACGGCCCAGACUCCUACGGGAGGCAGCAGUAGGGAAUCUUCCGCAAUGGACGAAAGUCUGACGGAGCAACGCCGCGUGAGUGAUGAAGGUUUUCGGAUCGUAAAACUCUGUUGUUAGGGAAGAACAAGUAUCGGAGUAACUGCCGGUACCUUGACGGUACCUAACCAGAAAGCCACGGCUAACUACGUGCCAGCAGCCGCGGUAAUACGUAGGUGGCAAGCGUUGUCCGGAAUUAUUGGGCGUAAAGCGCGCGCAGGUGGUUCUUUAAGUCUGAUGUGAAAGCCCACGGCUCAACCGUGGAGGGUCAUUGGAAACUGGGGAACUUGAGUGCAGAAGAGGAAAGUGGAAUUCCAAGUGUAGCGGUGAAAUGCGUAGAGAUUUGGAGGAACACCAGUGGCGAA